rnacentral:snRNA from 1 species
AGCUUUGCGCAGUGACAGUAUCGUAGCCAAUGAGGUUUAUCCGAGGCGCAAUUAUUGCUAAUUGAAAAUAUACUUGUGAAUAAUUUCAAAUUUUAACUAUUAUGUGGAUAUUUGCUUAUCCCUCAAUUGCUUGGAUUAGUAUCAAAUUAAAGUUUGUUGAAGUUUGAAGGACCUAAAUUAGCUGGUAAGGGU